AGGGAAUCUUCCGCAAUGGACGAAAGUCUGACGGAGCAACGCCGCGUGAGUGAUGAAGGUUUUCGGAUCGUAAAGCUCUGUUGCCAGGGAAGAACGUCCGUUAGAGUAACUGCUAACGGAGUGACGGUACCUGAGAAGAAAGCCCCGGCUAACUACGUGCCAGCAGCCGCGGUAAUACGUAGGGGGCGAGCGUUGUCCGGAAUUAUUGGGCGUAAAGCGCGCGCAGGCGGCUGUUUAAGUCUGGUGGUUAAUCCUGGGGCUCAACCCCGGGUCGCACUGGGAACUGGGCAGCUUGAGUGCAGAAGAGGAGAGUGGAAUUCCACGUGUAGCGGUGAAAUGCGUAGAGAUGUGGAGGAACACCAGUGGCGAAGGCGGCUCUCUGGUCUGUAACUGACGCCGAGGCGCGAAAGCGUGGGGAGCAAAC
rnacentral:rRNA from 1 species